rnacentral:rRNA from 1 species
CAGCCGCCGCGGGAAUACAGAGGGUGCAAGCGUUAAUCGGAAUUACUGGGCGUAAAGCGCGCGUAGGUGGUUCGCCAAGUUGGAUGUGAAAUCCCCGGGCUCAACCUGGGAACUGCAUCCAAACUGGCGAGCUAGAGUAUGGUAGAGGGUGGUGGAAUUUCCUGUGUAGCGGUGAAAUGCGUAGAUAUAGGAAGGAACACCAGUGGCGAAGGCGACCACCUGGACUGAUACUGACACUGAGGUGCGAAAGCGUGGGGAGCAAACAGGAUUAGAUACCCCUGUAGUCCCUGUCUCUUAUACA